rnacentral:rRNA from 1 species
UUGAACGCUGGCGGCAUGCCUUACACAUGCAAGUCGAACGGUAGAGGGGCAACCCUUGAGAGUGGCGAGCGGGUGAGUAAUAUAUCGGAACGUGCCCAGUCGUGGGGGAUAACGCAGCGAAAGCUGCGCUAAUACCGCAUACGAUCUAUGGAUGAAAGCGGGGGAUCGCAAGACCUCGCGCGAUUGGAGCGGCCGAUAUCAGAUUAGGUAGUUGGUGGGUAAAAGCCCACCAAGCCGACGAUCUGUAGCUG